AAUAGAUACCCGGGUAGUCACGCCGUAAACGAUGAGUGCUAAGUGUUAGAGGGUUUCCGCCCUUUAGUGCUGCAGCUAACGCAUUAAGCACUCCGCCUGGGGAGUACGGCCGCAAGGCUGAAACUCAAAGGAAUUGACGGGGGCCCGCACAAGCGGUGGAGCAUGUGGUUUAAUUCGAAGCAACGCGAAGAACCUUACCAGGUCUUGACAUCCUCUGCCAACCCUAGAGAUAGGGCGUUCCCCUUCGGGGGACAGAGUGACAGGUGGUGCAUGGUUGUCGUCAGCUCGUGUCGUGAGAUGUUGGGUUAAGUCCCGCAACGAGCGCAACCCUUGAUCUUAGUUGCCAGCAUUCAGUUGGGCACUCUAAGGUGACUGCCGGUGACAAACCGGAGGAAGGUGGGGAUGACGUCAAAUCAUCAUGCCCCUUAUGACCUGGGCCACACACGUGCUACAAUGGAUGGUACAAAGAGCUGCGAACCCGCGAGGGUAAGCCAAUCUCAUAAAGCCAUUCUCAGUUCGGAUUGUAGG
rnacentral:rRNA from 1 species